AACUGCCUGAUGGCGGGGGAUAACUACUGGAAACGGUAGCUAAUACCGCAUAAUGUCUACGGACCAAAGCGGGGGACCUCCGGGCCUCGCGCCAUCAGAUGAACCCAUAUGGGAUUAGCUAGUAGGUGAGGUAACGGCUUACCUAGGCGACGAUCCCUAGCUGGUCUGAGAGGAUGAUCAGCCACACUGGGACUGAGACACGGCCCAG
rnacentral:rRNA from 1 species